rnacentral:sRNA from 1 species
AGUUCCUAGGCCAGCCUGUCACGUGGGAGGGAGGCUCUGCGCCCAGCUCGCGCUCAGGAAGCAUGGCACUCUGGCGGGCAUACCAGCGGGCCCUGGCUGCUCACCCGUGGAAAGUACAGGUCCUGACAGCUGCAGCUGGUGGAGAGGCGGGGUCUGCAGGAACACCAGAGAGGCCGGACUCUGACCAUGGUGUCGCUGGGCUGUGGCUUUGUGGGCCCUGUGGUAGGAGGCUGGUACAAGGUUUUGGAUCGGUUCAUACCUGGCACCACCAAAGUGGAUGCACUGAAGAAGAUGUUGUUGGAUCAGGGGGGCUUUGCCCCAUGUUUUCUAGGCUGCUUUCUCCCACUGGUAGGGGCACUUAAUGGACUGUCAGCCCAGGACAACUGGGCCAAACUACAGCGGGUGAGCUGGGCAGGUGUGGAGAAUGUCUCUGGCUGGCAGGCUGACAGCCCAGGGGAAGGAGACAGGUUUUACAGGGAUAAAAAAGGGGGUAAGUGCAGGUAGAGUCCCAGGCCAUGGAGGAGAGGAGCUGAGGGUUAUGGUGGAGGAAUGUGCUCUUUGAACCCAAGUCUGUGUGUGACAUUCACACUGGGAAAUGGGAACUGCUUGGAGGCGCAAGUGCUAAUUUGUUCCUUCUCUGUCUCCCCAGGAUUAUCCUGAUGCCCUUAUCACCAACUACUAU